AUUGAACGCUGGCGGCAGGCCUAACACAUGCAAGUCGAGCGGCAGCGGGAAAGUAGCUUGCUACUUUUGCCGGCGAGCGGCGGACGGGUGAGUAAUGCCUGGGAAAUUGCCCAGUCGAGGGGGAUAACAGUUGGAAGCGACUGCUAAUACCGCAUACGCCCUACGGGGGAAAGCAGGGGACCUUCGGGCCUUGCGCGAUUGGAUAUGCCCAGGUGGGAUUAGCUAGUUGGUGAGGUAAUGGCUCACCAAGGCGACGAUCCCUAGCUGGUCUGGGAGGAUGAUCAGCCACACUGGAACUGAGACGCGGUCCAGACUCCUACGGGAGGCAGCAGUGGGGAAUAUUGCACAAUGGGGGAAACCCUGAUGCAGCCAUGCCGCGUGUGUGAAGAAGGCCUUCGGGUUGUAAAGCACUUUCAGCGAGGAGGAAAGGUUGAUGCCUAAUACGUAUCAACUGUGACGUUACUCGCAGAAGAAGCACCGGCUAACUCCGUGCCAGCCGCCGCAGUAACAC
rnacentral:rRNA from 1 species